rnacentral:lncRNA from 1 species
AGAGCCCAAGAGCAGGCCCAAGUCUUGAUUAAAUUAAUUAAUUAAUUAAUUAUAUGUAUAAAUAAUCAUUGCCAAUUACAUAAUUUGUUAAUGUUGCACCCAUUUUAGUUUUUUUUUUUUUUUUGUGGGGUAAAUAUCACGAGGUAUCCUCACACCCGACCGCUUAUGGUUCAGCUUGCCCCGGCCACAAAGUGCUUCCAACUAGUUUCGAACCCCUGCCAGUUAUGCACCAGGUAAUUCGCCAGCUAGAGAUGGCAGUUUGCCAACGG